UGCCCAAUGAAGUUUUAAAUGGCUGCAGUAUUAUGACUGUACAAAGGUAGCAUAAUCAUUAGUUUCUUAAUUAGAAGCUGGAAUGAAUGGAUUAACGAGAAAUUAACUGUCUCUAUUUAAAUAAUAGAAUUUUAUUUUUAAGUAAAAAAGCUUAAAUUUUAUUAAAAGACGAGAAGACCCUAUAGAGUUUUAUAUUUAUUUUAUUUUUUUAAAAAUUAAUAAAAUAAAUAUUUUAUUGGGGUGAUAGAAAAAUUUAAUUAACUUUUUCAGUAUUAAAACAAUUAUUUUUGAAUUAUUGAUCCAUUUUUAUGAUUAAAAGAUUAAAUUACCUUAGGGAUAACAGCGUAAUAUUUUUUUAGAGUUCAUAUUAAAAAAAAUGAUUGCGACCU
rnacentral:rRNA from 1 species